UCAUACAAGAAACCCAAAUCAAUAGCACCCGGCGUAAAGAGUGGCCACAUGCUAUCAAUACUAGCUAAGAUUAAAAUGUAACCAAGCUGUCAUAAGCCCAAGAUCCACCUAAGCCCGACCUAACUAUCUUAGCCAUACGAUUAAUUUUUACCCACGAAAGCUAGGACCCAAACUGGGAUUAGAUACCCCACUAUGCCUAGCCCUAAAUCUAGAUACCCCCUCCAUACCUACGUAUCCGCCCGAGAAUUACGAGCACAAACGCUUAAAACUCUAAGGACUUGGCGGUGCCCCAAACCCACCUAGAGGAGCCUGUUCUAUAACCGAUAAUCCACGAUCCACCCAACCACCCCUUGCCAAUACAGCCUACAUACCGCCGUCGCCAGCCCACCUUCAAUGAAAGAACAACAGUGAGCCUAAUAGCCCCCCGCUAACAAGACAGGUCAAGGUAUAGCCCAUGGGGUGGAAGAAAUGGGCUACAUUUUCUAGUAUAGAAUAGACGAAAAAGGAUGUGAAACUCAUCCUUAGAAGGAGGAUUUAGCAGUAAAAUAGGACCAUACCCCCUUUAAGCCUACUUUAAGACGGCUCUGAGGCACGUACAUACCGCCCGUCACCCUCUUCACAAGCCACCCACACCUAUAAAUAAUAUCCCAUCCUGGCUAGAGACGAGGUAAGUCGUAACAA
rnacentral:rRNA from 1 species